ACGUGCCAGCAGCCGCGGUAAGACGUAGGACGCAAGCGUUAUCCGGAUUUACUGGGCGUAAAGCGCCUGUAGGCGGUCAAGUAAGUCGGAUGUGAAAGCCCCGUGCUCAACGCGGGGAAGCCAUUCGAUACUGCGUGACUAGAGAACGGCAGAGGGAAACGGAAUUUCUGGCGUAGCGGUAAAAUGCGCAGAGAUCAGAAAGAACACCGAUGGCGAAGGCAGUUUCCUAGGCCGCAUCUGACGCUGAGAGGCGAAAGCUAGGGGAGCAAACAGGAUUAGAGACCCUGGUAGUCCUAGCUGUAAACGAUGGAUGCUAGGUGUGGGCCGGAAAGGUCCGUGCCGUAGUUAACGCGAUAAGCAUCCCGCCUGGGGAGCACGGCCGCAAGGCUAAAACUCAAACGAAUUGACGGGGACCCGCACAAGCAGCGGAGCGUGUGGUUUAAUUCGAUGCUACACGCAGAACCUUACCUGGGCUUGACAUGUAGGUGGUAGUGAAGUGAAAGCGGAGCGACCCUUCGGGGAGCCUACACAGGUGCUGCAUGGCUGUCGUCAGCUCGUGCCGUGAGGUGUCGGGUUAAGUCCCGUAACGAGCGCAACCCUUGUCCUUAGUUACAAGUGUCUAAGGAGACUGCCGGUGACAAACCGGAGGAAGGUGGGGAUGACGUCAAGUCAGCAUGGCCCUUAUGUCCAGGGCGACACACACGCUACAAUGGUCGGUACAAUGGGCAGCGCAGCCGCGAGGUGAAGCGAAUCCCAACAAAGCCGAUCCCAGUUCGGAUUGCAGGCUGCAACCCGCCUGCAGAAGCCGGAGUU
rnacentral:rRNA from 1 species